CUCUGCCUCUUUUGUAGGGUUUCCAGUUUCUUGAGGUGACUGGGAAACGUGUUACACUAUUUGACGUUAGAAUAAUUAAUAUGGGGCUCAAACAAGGUUUUGUACAGUCUAAGAAGUGCAGUUAAAGGGAAAUGGUGUCAUACUUUGAAGAAGAGAACAACAUAUUUGGUUAGUAUUGUAUCAGGUGCUCUAUAUGGCUUUGUAGUUGAGAGACUUGUCAAUGAGGACUCCCAGGAACUUUGUGGAAUCGACUGAUGUUCAGCUGCAGCAAGUGCCUCAUGCAGAGUCACUCCAGCAGCCACCACAGUCACCUGGUCAUCCUUGCUCUGGUACACCACCUGGCAUGCAAGGAACAAGGUGGCACUCCAGUGAAGAAUCGACCUGGCACAUACUGAGCAACUCACUCUCCUUCAGGAAGCCUGUCUCAACCCACAUUGAGUACAAGGCUGGGGCAGAUUGAACCUGGGAUAGAGAAUAUAAGGAUAUACAUCUCCUUUAUAAAUAUAUAUUUCCUCCAUAGUGCCAAAGGGCUCAUACCUUGGACAUAAGGAAGCGAUCGCUGUGGAAGUUCCUUGGGUCCUCAGGGCGGUACUUCAUGGUGUGGAAGAAAAGCACUGACAUGAUUUCUGCAACACUGCAGCAUGAUGUGGGGUGUCUGCAGAAGAAAGGAGGGGAGAAGGGGAUUUCAUCCAGAUGCGCAUACGAUGGACUCGUCACAAAACUUGAAGAUGCGCACACAAAAAAAUUCAUCAGCUUGCCAUUGGUGAAUGUUUUACCCUAACUGGUCUUGCCGAUAGCUGAAGAGCUUCACUAUAACUGCGAAUAUGCAGACUAGUCAAAUGAAUCAAAAUAAGUAAUAAAAAGAAGCAAAAAAAUAUUUUCAAGGAAAAUCCUAAGAAAAGUAGAAUACUAAUACUGUGCUGUCCACGCUGAACAGACCAAUUGCUUCAUUGACACAAAGACCACCAUCUAACCUUAUGGUGUAUUGAGGGGUGGGGACACUACAUUGUACAGUAUGUCUGGUAUAUGAUCGUCAUGCAUAAAUCAUGUUUAUUCUCACUACAAGAUUUCUUAUUUGUCAUUUAAGUAUUUCAUUGCGAGUGUAAGAAAUGCAAAUAGUAACAAGCAGCUAGUCAAAAUAAAUUUUCUUUGUUAGUUUACCCUUCAACCUUUGCAAUAAAUAAGUUUUCUUUACCUUAGGUCAGUCAUUUAAUUAAUGCUUUGUAUAGCAAAGCUUUUUAUUAAGUGUAUGGCAAAAUAAAACAGAAGUUUUCUUAAUUUUAUGAGUUAUUUUAAAAUAAUUAAAUAAACUGAAAAAAG